rnacentral:lncRNA from 1 species
AGACAAAAUUCAAUAGUCAGGUGAGCAGCUUCCUUUCUGUGGUUUAGAUAACAAGGGUGAUGCUAAGUGAGAAUGAAAUGACAUUUUAAUUAUUUUUUUUAUUUUUUUUUUAACAUUAAAAUUUCCCCAGGUAGGCUGGCUUCAUACAUACAUCUGAAUGUUCAACAUCUUGUGUGUGAAGAAAAUCUGUGGUAUGUUUUAAGUGGUGAGAAAGUUGAGUUUAGUGUUGUCUGGCAUUACUAUUGCAUUACAGUACAGUGUGAUUGAAAUAAAAUAGAGAAUCUGGCCCUGAGAAUGCAUAUUUGCUACAGCCAAUUUAAAUAGAUUGAUAUACACUUGCAAAAAAAGACCCUUAUGCAUCUUUAACUUGACUAACAACAUCAUAUGUAAUUAUCUACUUCAACAGUCUCACCAACAUGGACUUUGUGCUGAUGCUCACAAUAUUUGUAUCUGUUUUAUGUAGGUAUGACAACUUCAGAACUUUAGAGGUUUAGAGGUUGUACAAAGAAGUAAUUGUGUUCCUUCUGGAUGUGAGUGAAAACUUAUCAAACUGAGAAGGUGAACUCCCUGUACACGUGGAGCUCUUGUUACUGCCCUACUUCAUCUCUUACCAUUGCAGACCACCAGGAAGGGAGCUCUAACUCCCUGUCCAUUGGGCCCUUUGACCUCCCUGCUAACUACAAUUGUGAGUGUGACAUACAGUGUGAGCAACUGGGGAACACAAAAGGGUCAGCACUGUUUGAGAUGCGGUGAAACAGAUUAAUACAAGAAUAUAUCAAAACAGUGGAUGUGGAGAUGAGGGAAGAAAAAACAAAGAUAGUACAUGCAUGUUUUAUGUUUCCUCUGCUGUGUAUCUCUUUAAUGGAUGAUAUUUAAUGGACAGAUGGGGUUGUUGAACAAGAUCACAAAAUACUUAUGAUUUUUUUUUCUCUUUAAAUAAAGUACUUGCUCUUUGCUUUAUUGUGUUGUUU